AAAUUGAAGAGUUUGAUCAUGGCUCAGAUUGAACGCUGGCGGCAGGCCUAACACAUGCAAGUCGAACGGUAACAGGAAGCAGCUUGCUGCUUUGCUGACGAGUGGCGGACGGGUGAGUAAUGUCUGGGAAACUGCCCGAUGGAGGGGGACAACUACUGGAAACGGUGCCUAAUACCGCAUAACGUCGCAAGACCAAACAGGGGGACCUUCGGGCC
rnacentral:rRNA from 1 species